AAUGGGAUAGCUGGGUAAUAUGGUGGUUCCCUAGUUUUUUGAGGAAUCUUCAUACUGCUUUCCAGAGUGGUCAUACUAGUCUGCAGUCCCACCAACAAU
rnacentral:pre_miRNA from 1 species